rnacentral:lncRNA from 1 species
AUUCAACUCUCUAUAAUUUCACCCACCUCCCUAAUUUCUUUAAAAGUAUAUUUUACUACCCCAAAGCUAAUACUCUUAUAUUUUCUUUAUUAAUUAAAUAAUUAAAAAUCUAAUUAAAACUAAUUUACUAUUAAACCACCAAUUCUCAUUUAUACACUAAUUCUAACAAAGAUUCACCAAUUUAAAUUAUUAAACUAAAAACACUCUCAAAACUCUAUAUAAAAAUAAAUAUAAAAAACUGGGGUGUUACAUCCUAUGCUAUA